rnacentral:lncRNA from 1 species
AGCAUCUAAGGAGAGUUUUGUGACAAAGAUCUGGAAAUGGUAGUGCAGUCUCCACAUUCACAUAACAAAAAGUGGAUCAGUAUUCAUUUUGUCUGAUUGUUCUCUUCCAUUUGAUAUCUGAAAGGUGAAUCUGAGUUAUUAACAUUUUUCUAAAUACCAGCUGUUAAGACUUGAUGAAAUGGCUGGAAGCAAUGCCACUGGUGUGACAGAAUUCAUUCUCUUGGGGUUUGCAGUCCAGCGAGAGAAAUAUAAACCAUAUGUCCACAGAGUGCAAAUCAGACUCACAGA